rnacentral:rRNA from 1 species
UCAAGUCUUAGCACAUGCAGUCGAGCGGAUGAGUGAGAGCUUGCUCCAUGAUUCAGCGGCGGACGGGUGAGUAAUGCCUAGGAAUCUGCCUGGUAGUGGGGGACAACGUUUCGAAAGGAACGCUAAUACCGCAUACGUCCUACGGGAGAAAGCAGGGGACCUUCGGGCCUUGCGCUAUCAGAUGAGCCUAGGUCGGAUUAGCUAGUUGGUGGGGUAAAGGCCUACCAAGGCGACGAUCCGUAACUGGUCUGAGAGGAUGAUCAGUCACACUGGAACUGAGACACGGUCCAGACUCCUACGGGAGGCAGCAGUGGGGAAUAUUGGACAAUGGGCGAAAGCCUGAUCCAGCCAUGCCGCGUGUGUGAAGAAGGUCUUCGGAUUGGAAAGCACUUUAAGUUGGGAGGAAGGGCAGUGAGUUAAGACCUUGGUGGUUUG